UUGGAGGGCAAGUCUGGUGCCAGCAGCCGCGGUAAUUCCAGCUCCAAUAGCGUAUAUUAAAGUUGUUGCAGUUAAAAAGCUCGUAGUUGAAUUUCGGGGUCAGUAGGUUGGUCGUGCCUAUGGUAUGUACUGGCUUUACUGAUUCCUCCUUCUUGAAGAACUGUAAUGUCAUUAAUUUGGUGUUGCAGGGAAACAGGACUGUUACUUUGAAAAAAUUAGAGUGUUUAAAGCAGGCUAACGCUUGAAUACAUUAGCAUGGAAUAAUGAAAUAGGACGUUCGAUCCUAUUUUGUUGGUUUCUAGGAUUGACGUAAUGAUUAAUAGGGAUAGUUGGGGGCAUUAGUAUUCAAUUGUCAGAGGUGAAAUUCUUGGAUUUAUUGAAGACUAACUACUGCGAAAGCAUUUGCCAAGGAUGUUUUCAUUAAUCAAGAACGAAAGUUAGGGGACCGAAGACGAUCAGAUACCGUCGUAGUCUUAACCAUAAACUAUGCCGACUAGGGAUCGGAUGAUGUUAAUUUUUUAAUGACUCAUUCGGCGCCUUACGGGAAAC
rnacentral:rRNA from 1 species